CUGGAAUUCGCCCUUAGAGUUUGAUCCUGGCUCAAGAUGAACGCUGGCGGCGUGCUUAACACAUGCAAGUCGAACGAAGCACUCUAUUUGAUUUUCUUCGGAAAUGAAGAUUUUGUGACUGAGUGGCGGACGGGUGAGUAACGCGUGGGUAACCUGCCUCAUACAGGGGGAUAACAGUUGGAAACGACUGCUAAUACCGCAUAAGCGCACAGGAUUGCAUGAUCCGGUGUGAAAAACUCCGGUGGUAUGGGAUGGACCCGCGUCUGAUUAGCCAGUUGGCAGGGUAACGGCCUACCAAAGCGACGAUCAGUAGCCGACCUGAGAGGGUGACCGGCCACAUUGGGACUGAGACACGGCCCAAACUCCUACGGGAGGCAGCAGUGGGGAAUAUUGCACAAUGGGGGAAACCCUGAUGCAGCGACGCCGCGUGAGCGAAGAAGUAUUUCGGUAUGUAAAGCUCUAUCAGCAGGGAAGAAGAAUGACGGUACCUGACUAAGAAGCACCGGCUAAAUACGUGCCAGCAGCCGCGGUAAUACGUAUGGUGCAAGCGUUAUCCGGAUUUACUGGGUGUAAAGGGAGCGCAGGCGGUGCGGCAAGUCUGAUGUGAAAGCCCGGGGCUCAACCCCGGUACUGCAUUGGAAACUGUCGUACUAGAGUGUCGGAGGGGUAAGUGGAAUUCCUAGUGUAGCGGUGAAAUGCGUAGAUAUUAGGAGGAACACCAGUGGCGAAGGCGGCUUACUGGACGAUAACUGACGCUGAGGCUCGAAAGCGUGGGGAGCAAACAGGAUUAGAUACCCUGGUAGUCCACGCCGUAAACGAU
rnacentral:rRNA from 1 species